GCUGGCGCAACAGAUAACGCGUUUGACUAUGUAUCAGAAGAUUCCAGGUUUAAAUCCUGGCAGGCU